UAUCUCUGUAGAGUCUGCAUAUCAAUAAGCGGAGGAAAAGAAACUAACAAGGAUUCCCCUAGUAACGGCGAGUGAAGCGGGAAGAGCUCAAAUUUGAAAUCUUCAAGGUUUGACCUUGACGAAUUGUAGUUUAAAGAAGUGUUUUCGGUUAGAGGAGUAGUAAAAGUUCUUUGGAAUAGGACAUCAUAGAGGGUGAGAAUCCCGUAUUUGACCUAUUCUUUCUAGCUUUGUGAUACACUUUCAAAGAGUCGGAUUGUUUGGGAAUGCAGUUCAAAAUGGGUGGUAAAUUUCAUCUAAAGCUAAAUAUUGGCGAGAGACCGAUAGCGAACAAGUACCGUGAGGGAAAGAUGAAAAGAACUUUGAAAAGAGAGUUAAACAGUACGUGAAAUUGUCAAAAGGGAAGCGUUUGACACCAGUGUUGUUUUUCCGAAAAUCAAUUAAAAAUGGAUUCAUGCUAAGUUGUAUUGACCUUAUCAGCUUGCAAUUUAGUUUUGGGUUUCUUUUUGAUGCACUUUUCGGUUAACAAGUCAACAUCAAUUUCCUUUGCUGUAAAAAGGCAGGAGGAAGGUGGCUUCAAUUUCGGUUGAAGUGUUUAUAGCCUUCUGUCUCUGCAGUCGGGGAGAUUGAGGUCUGCAGCGUAGAUCCUUCGGGGCUAGAUACAUUCGUGCUAAGUUAUAGCCUUUUAUAGACAACUUGUUGACUAUGAUUGGUCUUGUAAUUUACUCGCGAGUGCUAUUUUACCUACGCUUAGGAUGUUGAUCUACAGAGCGAGAGU
rnacentral:rRNA from 1 species